GACGAACGCUGGCGGCGUGCUUAACACAUGCAAGUCGAACGGAAAGGCCCUGCUUUUGUGGGGUGCUCGAGUGGCGAACGGGUGAGUAACACGUGAGUAACCUGCCCUUGACUUUGGGAUAACUUCAGGAAACUGGGGCUAAUACCGGAUAGGAGCUCCUGCUGCAUGGUGGGGGUUGGAAAGUUUCGGCGGUUGGGGAUGGACUCGCGGCUUAUCAGCUUGUUGGUGGGGUAGUGGCUUACCAAGGCUUUGACGGGUAGCCGGCCUGAGAGGGUGACCGGCCACAUUGGGCUUGAGAUACGACCCAGAGUCCUACGGGAGGCAGAAGUGGGAAAUAGUGCACAAUGGGCGGAAGCCUGAUGCAGCAUCGCCGCGUGCGGGAUGACGGCCUUCGGGUUGUAAACCGCUUUCGCCUGUGACGAAGCGUGAGUGACGGUAAUGGGUAAAGAAGCACCGGCUAACUACGUG
rnacentral:rRNA from 1 species